rnacentral:lncRNA from 1 species
GGAGCUUGCGGAACCGCCCGUCCGGCAGGGGGCGCGCUGCGCAGGGCAAAGGCGCGGGGCGGUCGGUGACCGUGAGAGCGGCGCGUGGUACCGCGGGGGCACCACAGAGAGGGCGGGCCGGUCCGUAAGGCAGCGAGACCGGGCCUGGCUGUGCUCGGGGGCCGGGCAGAGCCCCCUGAGGUUCACCUGCUCCGUGCAGCGUGCCUGCCCCGCCUGGGGAAGCGGGUGGGUGGGUGGGAGGACGUGGCGCCGGGCUGCUGCUGGCACGGCACACAUUUGCCAGCAGAGGAAGGUGCAAAACUCACUGCUGUCCUUGCAAACAUCCUGCGUCCUCAGUCCAGGAGUCACGUAGGUGCAAGCUGAGUCGAGAAGGCGUUUAAAACAAUGUAAUUAAUUUCCUCCUUUUGCAUAAGGAAUGUCCAAGGGUGGCAGUUGGCUUGCUUUUGUCACCAGCCCCGAGCCUAUUUACUGCCUUGCAGCUUGUCACACACAGCGCUGCGCCGGGAAGUCUGAGGUCAUGCACACCACUGAGACUAUUUAAUUAUAGCUCGUGGGUUCUGUAAACUCUAAAACCUUGCUUAUGACAGCAGGAUUGGAGGUAUUCAAUCAAUAUACACCUCUCUCUAAAAUAAGCAGAGUGUAAGGUAAAUGUCAGUGCUCUUUAAUCAAUUCAGGCGAGCCAUGUAUGCAGACACUUUGGUUUCUUCCGAGGCAGCCUGUUCAUAGGGAGAUCCCUGGUGUCCUAAAUGCAGACUGGAGAGGCUCGAAGAGAUGGGGCUGAAUUCCCGCUGCCCAAAGCCCCGCGCAGACACGUCGUGCAUGACUGUGGUGCUGGAAGGGCUCCGGAGUGAAGACCUUCCCCAGGCAAGUCACCCUGAUCUCAUCCAAAAGGGAUCAGAUCCAGGCUUAAACUCUUGCAAGAAAAGGUGCUCACGCUCUGAGUGCUAUUGAAUGCUUUUUGGGUUCUCUUCCCUCAAGAAAUGACCUUUGUGGCAACCUCUGUCCUAUCAGGAGCCACCCCCUGGCUCCACACAUUCAACGAGCAGCUUCACCUCAGAGAAGCCUACACCACUGCACACCUCAGGCAGCCAGCACCAGUCCUGCUCUCCAAGACCUGCAAGUACUCUUUGACCCCUGUUUCCAACCCGGUAUUGUCACUGCUGGCACAGGUUUCUUUGGAACAGUGACUGAUGCUGACUGUACGCCUCCUUGUGCAUUGACAUGCAGCUUGGUGGAUGUCCAUUAAAUGCUCACGCCUCAGUAGCACUGUGUACCCUGCAGCCUUUGUCCACGCUCCGUGCUGCCAUGGGUGGUCAGCCGUGGGGAUUGUCAAAGCACUGCUGAGCACGGCAGGGCGGCACACGCUGAUGCACACUUAGUGCCAUUUCAGUAACCACGGCUAAAAUCUGAUCUAAGCAAACAGCUUAUGCAGCUCAGGAACUAUCGUGCUCUGUAUCUGUUCAAACAUUUCAUUUUUCUGACAAUCUUUGCCUACUGCAGCACAACAAAGGGUAUGUUUAUUCCAACAAUGUUUGUGUGAUAAGUACUGAGUUAAUGGCACACACAAUUUGCUGGCUAGUCUUCCAGCAGGCCUGGGAUCUAAUUAAUCUCUGGCAGGCUCCUCUGAAAUAGAAGCAGUGUUGGCCUGUGCACCUAGCAGUCAAGACAAACUAAUUGGAGCCAAGUUGUACAGUAGAGAGGAGGAAGGAAUAGCUUCACCAUGGUGGGGGCUUUUCUGAGCAUUACAGUGCCAAAGUCUGCAUUUGUGCUCUAUUAGAAAAGCAACAUUUACACAAUUCUCUCCACCCUCAGCCAGAAUUCAAAGAGAAAUAUUUGAAUCAGUCACAAACCAGCACAAAGCUUAGCGGUCACAUAUCCCACAAAUGUAGG